ACGAUAUUAGUGAAUGAGGAUAAGCAGACACGAGGAGUACCAGACCAUACACAAGACCAUACAAAGGACCGGACAAAAAGAAGAAGCAUCAGCUGGACAUCUACUAUAUUGGAUGACUCACAACUAGAUGAUUUAGGUUGUAAAAAUAAACGUAAGACUAUUCACAAAUAUAGCAAACUGGAUAAUCAUAAUAAAACAAAAGAUAAUGUUUCAUUAGAUAACAAAUCAGAAUAUGGUAUUAUGAUACAAAAGGAAAAUGUAGUGCCUACUUAUAUAGAUACUAUUGAUAUUAGUACCAUUGCCAGUGCAAACAAUAGUAAUAAAAAAAACAGACGAAAAACACUUAAUAUAAUAAACCAUAAUUUAAACAACUACCAUAUUACAAAUGUAAAAAAAAAUGAAUUGUCAGUAAAUGAUACAAUUAACAAAAAUAUAAAACAUAUUAUCUUACCAAAUAAAAAAAAAAUCGACUCAACAAUGUAUGAGUUUUUAAGCCCAACAAAAAUUAGUCUUUUCGAAUGGUCUAACAAUAAAAAUGAAAAUAAAAAUGUGCAAAAUAAUGUGCAAAUUAAAGUGCAAAAAAAAAGUAAAAGAAGUACUGUAAGUUGUGCGAUAAACGUCGAUGAUGUAACAAAAAGUGACAAACUCGAAGCUGGAGUAACUACAGGUGCACGCGCGAGUUUGUAUACAAGUGCAUACACAGGCUCUCGUCGAACCAGCACAUGCACCGACAUGCACAAAACACAAGAAAAGAACAACUAUUUAAAAUAUUUGGACUUAAAAAAACAAUGCUACCAAGGUGAGUUACGAUUUUCUUUUUUAAAAUUAAGAAUGUAUUUAUUUAAUAUAAUGAUUGAUAUAUUCGAAUGGAACCAGGUGAAUUUUAAACAUAUGUUUGAAAUUUUUAAUAAUGUUACUAACUCAUUUAUUACUCAGAUACUUAAGUGUGAACUGAUAGAAGAUGAUAAUAAUAAAGAAAAAUGUAUAUAUAUAAAAAAUGUAGAACAAAAAAACAUAAGAAAAAAUCCUAUAAUUGUAUAUAUUCAUGGUAACUUAAAUAGACUACCUUUUGAAAACUUUGAUGCAUUAAAAAGC
rnacentral:lncRNA from 1 species